rnacentral:rRNA from 1 species
AUGAAUUGGACUCCUCAAGAAGAACAAGAAGAACCAGAUUUACAUUUCAUUCCUCAAGAACAAGUAUCAGAUCUGAAUUGGAAUCCUCAAGAAGAACAAGUGCCAGAUCUGAAUUUGUUUCCUCAAGAAGAAGAAGUACAACUUGAAGGUGCUCAGCAUCCAAAAAGCAGAGAACUGACAAAUAAGGAGAGAUUUGGUGUUUAUUUUGCUCUCAAAGUAAUCAAGAACAAAGAUGGACAAGUAGUGAAAACAGACAAGAAGCUCGUUGCCGACGUACUGAAAACAAGCCUAAGCACUGUUAGCAGAAUAUGGAGAAGAGCAAAUCGCCAAAUUGCACGAGGGGAGGAAGUUGAUGUCUCGAACCAAAAGAAAAGAAGAGUCGGCCGUAAGCCGAAAGAUCUGGACCUGUCGAGGAUGGCGACAAUCCCACUGAAUAGGCGGAGGACAUUUCGAAGUCUAGCA